CCUACGGGGGGCUGCAGUGGGGAAUAUUGGACAAUGGGGGCAACCCUGAUCCAGCCAUGCCGCGUGUGUGAAGAAGGCCCUCGGGUGGUAAAGCACUUUCAGUGAGGAAGAACGCCUGGUGGUUAAUACCCAUCAGGAAAGACAUCACUCACAGAAGAAGCACCGGCUAACUCCGUGCCAGCAGCCGCGGUAAUACGGAGGGUGCGAGCGUUAAUCGGAAUUACUGGGCGUAAAGCGCGCGUAGGUGGCUUGAUAAGCCGGUUGUGAAAGCCCCGGGCUCAACCUGGGAACGGCAUCCGGAACUGUCAAGCUAGAGUGCAGGAGAGGAAGGUAGAAUUCCCGGUGUAGCGGUGAAAUGCGUAGAGAUCGGGAGGAAUACCAGUGGCGAAGGCGGCCUUCUGGACUGACACUGACACUGAGGUGCGAAAGCGUGGGUAGCAAACAGGAUUAGAUACCCUGGUAGUC
rnacentral:rRNA from 1 species